CCUCCAGGAUGCACGCCGGGCGGGGCGCAUCCCAGACUCCCGGAGCCGCGCCAUUGGUACCGCUCCUGCCGCAGCAGCCGUGGUCGGCCCCUGCGCGUCUAUCUGCGCUGCUGGGCACGAGGCCACAGAAGGACAUUGGAAGGACAUGGCGAAGACUCAGAGACCAGAACCAAAAACGCAAGGCAACUGAACAGCAGAAAACCGGGUUUCCAGUACUGAAGAGGACUUGAAGAGACCCAGUGUAUCGUGAAGACCGGUUCAGGAAUAGAGUGAAAUCUAUUGUAAGGGACACUGCUGGGGCCCCACCAUAUCUCUGUGGCCUUUUGGUUUAGUGUGGCCAGUGCCAGCUGCCAGCACGUGCACCUUUUGCCACCUGCCACCUCUCAUCACUGGAAGCUGCUCUGCUCAGCACAGAGGCCUGGACGUUUCAGGGGAAUGAAGACCAUAUGCCAGAAGUUCCUGUUCCGUAUUCCUUAGGGCAAUGUAUGUUUUAUGCUAGCCCCUGGACUUCCUCCUUGCAACUCAACCUACCACAAGGAGCAAUAACCCGAAUACAAGAAGCAGAUUCAUGUUCUGAGCUGCCAGCAGUUUACAAUCAUGCCCAAAGCCUACCUUAAUAACAAAAGAAAGCAAGAUGCAUGACCCCCACCAACUACCCGUCCUCCUCCAGGGGCGCUAUUUCCCUCCUUCCAGUAGAUUCUAGGAGGCAGAGCCCUAUCUUUUUCUCCACCGCCUUAGACUCAGCAGCUCAUGUAGUUACUGACACACAGUAGGCCCUCACUGUAUGUUUGUGAAUGGACAGAUGGGUAAUUUGAUUCCUCUGCUCCUGCUCCGAGACUGAUGCUGACUCCAGAGUCAUGAUGCUGGAGUUUUCUCUCUUAGUUUGAUGUUCUCCAGCCACAGCCAGACUGUUAACGCAGCUCAGGGCUCCGUGGCGUCGACGCUGACUGACUCCCAGUCACGCACACUGCAGCGCCUUGUCUCAACCAUUUCUCCUCUCUUUUAGUUUUCAUUGCCACCUAUGCCCCUUCCUUCUCUGCAGACAAUUUUUCUUUCAUAUUAUAAAAAUUUAAACCCCCAAUUAUUAAGAACCAUCUCCAACUUGUUCAAAAAUAGCUCCACAGAAAAUUAAUAAGCUGGAGACAGACCUUCAUGUGCCUAUGAAAGAAUUUCAUCUAUAAUGAAGGAGGCGUCACACAUUCCCGAGUUGAGGAAGAAUUUUAGUGCUGGGGUAGCUGGUUCAACAUUCUCAGAAGUAAUCAAGUUAUAACCUAAUUGCCCAGU